rnacentral:rRNA from 1 species
UACAGAGACCACAAGCGUUAUCCGAAUUUAUUGGGCGUAAAGGGUCCGCAGGCGGCAGUGUGCGUCAUUGGUUAAAUCUUGAGGCUCAACUUCAAGACUGCCCGUGAUACGACACAGCUAGAGAUCGGGAGAGUAAGCGGAAUUGCCGGUGUAGUAGUAAAUGCGUUAAUAUCGGCAAGAACACCAAAUGCGAGGGCAGCUUACUGGAACGAAUCUGACGCUCAGGGACGAAAGCGU